GCCAGGGUGGUGCAGUGGUUUCAAUGUUGGACUAUGACUCUGGAGACCAGGGUUCAAUUCCCAGCUCGGCCA